rnacentral:rRNA from 1 species
GACGAACGCUGGCGGCGCGCUUAACACAUGCAAGUCGAGCGAGAACCAGGGCUUCGGCCCUGGGGACAGCGGCGAACGGGUGAGUAACACGUGGGUCAUCUGCCCUCGGCACCGGAAUAGCCCGGGGAAACCCGGAUUAAUGCCGGAUGGCCCGGCUGCUCUACGGGGCGGUCGGAAAAGGUAGCUUCGGCCUCCGGCCGAGGAUGAGCCCGCGGCGGAUUAGCUAGUUGGUGGGGUAACGGCCCACCGAGGCGACGAUCCGUAGCUGGUCUGAGAGGACGAUCAGGCACACUGGGACUGAGACACGGCCCAGACUCCUACGGGAGGCAGCAGUGGGGAAUCUUGCGCAAUGGGCGAAAGCCUGACGCAGCGACGCCGCGUGAGGGAAGAAGGCUUUCGGGUUGUAAACCUCUUUCAGGAGGGACGAAGCCACUCGGGUGAAUAGCCCAGGGGGUGACGGUACCUCCAGAAGAAGCCCCGGCUAACUACGUGCCAGCCGCCGCAGUAACAC